ACGAACGCUGGCGGCAUGCCUAACACAUGCAAGUCGAACGAGACCUUCGGGUCUAGUGGCGCACGGGUGCGUAACGCGUGGGAAUCUGCCCAAAGGUUCGGAAUAACUCAGGGAAACUUGUGCUAAUACCGGAUAAUGUCUUCGGACCAAAGAUUUAUUGCCUUUGGAUGAGCCCGCGUCGGAUUAGCUUGUUGGUGAGGUAAAAGCUCACCAAGGCGACGAUCCGUAGCUGGUCUGAGAGGAUGAUCAGCCACACUGGGACUGAGACACGGCCCAGACUCCUACGGGAGGCAGCAGUGGGGAAUAUUGGACAAUGGGCGAAAGCCUGAUCCAGCAAUGCCGCGUGAGUGAUGAAGGCCUUAGGGUUGUAAAGCUCUUUUACCCGGGAUGAUAAUGACAGUACCGGGAGAAUAAGCUCCGGCUAACUCCGU
rnacentral:rRNA from 1 species